rnacentral:rRNA from 1 species
CAAUAGCGUAUAUUAAAGUUGUUGCAGUUAAAAAGCUCGUAGUUGAAUUUUUGCUUGCCGCCGAUGUCGGAACUUCCGUACGUUCGGCGGCGUGCAUCCUUGGGUGGAACCUGUGUGGCAUUAGGUUGUCGUGCAGGGGAUGCUCAUCGUUUACUGUGAAAAAAUUAGAGUGUUCAAAGCAGGCUUAUGCCGUUGAAUAUAUUAGCAUGGAAUAAUAAGAUAGGACCUUGGUACUAUUUUGUUGGUUUGCGCACCGAGGUAAUGAUUAACAGGGACAGUUGGGGGUAUUCGUAUUCCAUUGUCAGAGGUGAAAUUCUUGGAUUUCUGGAAGACGAACUACUGCGAAAGCAUUUACCAAGGAUGUUUNCAUUAA